GUCCUGUCUCUGCUGUGCUGACAGAGCUGCGUUGCACUUGUUUACGCGUUACGCUGAGAGUAAACCCCAAAACGAUUGGUAAACUGCAGGUGUUCCCCGCAGGCCCGCAGUGCUCCAAGGUGGAAGUGGUGCCUCCCUGAAGAACGGGAAGCAAGUUUGUCUGGACCCGGAAGCCCCUUUUCUAAAGAAAGUCAUCCAGAAAAUUUUGGACAGGGAAACAAGAAAAACUGAGUAACAAAAAAGACCAUGCA
rnacentral:lncRNA from 1 species